rnacentral:sRNA from 1 species
CAUUUUAAAACCAAGGGCUUUUGCCCAUCUUCAAUAGCUAACAAGAACUCUUUCUUUUCUUUACAAAUCCCAAAACCUUUACUAGACUUUUUCUGCUUCUUUAGCUUACUUCACCUAGAGUCUUUUACCUUUUCUUAUCAAUGAAUCAACCCCCCUUUUUU